rnacentral:lncRNA from 1 species
GUUAAUUUUUGUAUUUUUAUUAGAGACAGGGAUUUUCCAGGUUGCCCAGGAUGGUCUUGAAAUCCUGGGCUCAAGCCAUCCGCCUGCCUCGGCCUCCCAAAGUGCUGGGAUUGCAGGCUUGAGCCACCGUGCCCAGCCGAUUCCUAUAAACUCUUGAUAAAUAACUCUAAUCCAAAGUUCGUGAUCUAAAAUAUAAAUCCUUACUGCUAAUAAAGCACAUUUGUUUUUGUUCUAAAAAAUGGCUUAUAAUGAACCAUUAUUUUUUCUAUGACCUUUAAUGCUCAUAAAGGUAUUGAGACUAACCACCUUAAAUAAUCUACAUCUGCCAAAUACGCUGUGCCUUACUGUUUUAUCUGCCCUAAUAAGAUCAGUUCUCCUCUCCUCUGCUUUCCAAAGUUGCAUCUGCUACAAAGCUGCAGAGUUCUCAGAAUGAGGCUCAUGAAUGGUGGUCUCAGACUGGGCACGGAAUGAAGGAAGGAAGACAAGAAGAUAUGGAAGAAGGGAAAGGAGGAAUAAGGGGAAGAAACAAGUAAAACUGGUUAGGCCACAAGUGAAAAUAAGCUGGGUCCUUUCACUAGAAGUUCUGUUGCCUGUAGAUAAUCUUGCUGAGCUGUUAAUUGUGCUAAAGGCAGCUAUAGAAGCAGAAUAACUGAAGUGAAACAUCUCAUCUUCACCACAAAUGCCUUUUCUGAAUAUACUUCUUUACUUAUUUCUUUUACUAUUGCUACCAGUCCCUCUAAUACUUGUUUGAAUCCUUUGUACAGUGGUUCUCAAAA